rnacentral:rRNA from 1 species
GAUGAACGCUGGCGGCGUGCCUAAUACAUGCAAGUCGAGCGAACAGACGAGGAGCUUGCUCCUCUGACGUUAGCGGCGGACGGGUGAGUAACACGUGGAUAACCUACCUAUAAGACUGGGAUAACUUCGGGAAACCGGAGCUCAUACCGGAUAACAUGUUGAACCGCAUGGUUCAACAGUGAAAGACGGUCUUGCUGUCACUUAUAGAUGGAUCCGCGCCGCAUUAGCUAGUUGGUAAGGUAACGGCUUACCAAGGCAACGAUGCGUAGCCGACCUGAGAGGGGGAUCGGCCACACUGGAACGGAGACACGGUCCAGACUCCUACGGGAGGAAGCAGUAGGGAAUCUUCCGCAAUGGGCGAAAGCCUGACGGAGCAACGCCGCGUGAGUGAAGAAGGUCUUCGGAUCGUAAAACUCUGUUAUUAGGGAAGAACAAAUGUGUAAGUAACUAUGCACGUCUUGACGGUACCUAAUCAGAAAGCCACGGCUAACUACGUG